rnacentral:misc_RNA from 1 species
CAGGCUGAAUCGAAGGCAUUG